rnacentral:lncRNA from 1 species
CUGACUUGCCCAGUCUGGAAGCUCCCUGAAAGCCUGGCAGGCCACCCUACUUCAGCUGCAUUCGGUCCAUACACUGAGGGUCUCAGUGGGGAAAAAGCAGAGUCAUUUUAAAGAAACAUGGAUCUUAGUUUCUAGAAGGUUUUUCCCCAUCUGGCAGACAAAUUUAUGCCUAUUCCACACACAGUUCUGGAGGCUGGGAGGUUCAAGAUCAAGAUGCAGGCAGAUUCAUCUCCUGCUUCUCCUCGUGGGACCAAAGGCAAGUUCUUCUCAUGGUAAGAGUGGAAGAGAAAUAGGGCAAGUGGAAGUGACACACCAUCCUUUCUCAUUUUAUUGGCCAACACCAGUCACAUGACUAACCUCAAAGUCAAAAGGAGGAGAAAUAUAUUCUGUCUGGUCUGUAGCUCAAGUAUCUGCUUAUCCUGGAAGUCUCUAAGAAAUUGAAUGGAAAUAAUCUCAAGAAAAUAUCCUUAAGGAUAAAUUAUUCCUUAUAUAUUUUUUUGUUUAUAAAAAAGAAAACAAAACAAGAAAAGAAAAUCAUGUUCCUUUCAAUGGUUCUUGUACAUUAAUUCCUUCUUUGCUUGCUAGUUUAAGAAUUAGUGCAAUUCCCAUAAAAAUUAGAAUUAGUAAGGUAGUACAAUGAUUUUCUAGAGACUGAGUUUCAUAAUACUUUUAGAUUUUAAAUAUGGUACAUGUUUUAACAAAGUACAGCUAAAGUCUUUUUGGAUCGGACACAAGUUAUGCCACGAGUGCUUAACUUUUUAUAAAUGAGAUGAGUAUAGGAAUUCAAGAGCAGAGGUUCCUGUGGGGAGACCAUUCUCCUGUCUUAUUUGAUGAGUGAUGUGCUAAUCCCAGCACUGAAGCUGUUGGCAGAAAGGAAAGACUUCCGAAAUUGACAGGACUCGUGUGUGGAACUGCCAUGGGUCCGUGGGCUGCCACAGAAUUAUGCAGGAAAUAAUUUUCAAGGAAACAAGAAGGAAAACAUGAUUGGGUCCAAAAUUCUAUCAUUGUUUUAUUGAAAAAGCAAAUCUCUUCUCUAGCUUGAAAUGCUAGAGCUACAAUUUAUUUCUUCUUAAGUUUGUCCCAGUGGGAGUCACAGGCCGGGUCAUAUGGGGUGAUGACCACCUUUCCACCUCCUCUAAUGCUCGCCCCUGGAGUCCAGCUUCCCCCAGAGACUUAUGAAAAGGAAGGGUAGGGUGGAGGCUGGCACCAAACCAAGAAGAAAUAAGAAUCUUGUCAUGUGGUGAGAACUGUUAGCUCAACAUAUUUCUGGUGAUGGCCUGACCUGGAGUCUGAGGUGUCCACGUUUACAGUCAUCUCUACGGUUGAUUAUGGUACUGCAUCUCCAGGAGGCACCCGGCAAAAGGAAAGCGUUAACUUGGCAAACAACUGACUCACAGCGACAGAGCUGUGCAUUGAGUGGGAUUUAAAAUGAAAAUGGAGAAAGAGGGAGUAUUAAUCCUUGAAGAGCUGAUGAAAGCUGGCUGCUAUGGGGACAGCAAAUAUCCUUUGGAAAUAAGCGUGAGUGAGCGAGGUUUCGGAGAAAACAAUGAAGAGAGGCAGAACUAAAACGAAUGGUGUCAGAGGCCUGUAUGUCCAUGUAUUAAACAGUUGCCCACUGGAAGAGUCUUUCCAUUUGCCACACUGGAUGCCACACUGGAUGGGAUAAUCUAGGAGGGAGGAACUGUGGAGAUGGUGCGCCUUGGGAUGUCCAGAAGACAGUGACCAGAAUUUCAAGAGAUGUUUUCAGAUUUCACAGUAUAAUAAGAGAAAAGGAGCCAAUCCCUUAAAUGAAGAACCUUCAAUCACUUCUCCCCAGGUGCACGUUUCAAUUUCAUUUCUUUUCAUCAACUCCUUCCCUUUGAUGAUGGGUUGCAUUGAAAACUAUUAAGAAAAGUAGGAUAUUUAAAAUGAACUGUGUUAAGAAGAGGAUCAUUUCAAAGAAUCUAUUCUGAGGAAGUGCCUUCAGCCAAUCAAAAAGCUAAAGAAACUGGAUAUAAUGUGAAUCUAGUGUAAAUUACCAUGAUGUCUCCUUCAACAUUCAUCAAGACUUCUGACUAGUCUACUUGAUCUGUGAAAAUGAGAUUACUUGAAGACCUGUCACAGAUUUUAAAGCAGAACACGAUAUAUUGAUUAUACAAAUAUUUUUAUGUCACCCUGUAUCUUAAUAAAAUAACAUUUACGUCUGGA